AUUGAACGCUGGCGGCAUGCCUUACACAUGCAAGUCGAACGGCAUCGCGGGAGCAAUCCUGGCGGCGAGUGGCGAACGGGUGAGUAAUACAUCGGAACGUGCCCAAUCGUGGGGGAUAACGCAGCGAAAGCUGUGCUAAUACCGCAUACGAUCUACGGAUGCAAGCAGGGGACCGCAAGGCCUUGCGCGAAUGGAGCGGCCGAUGGCAGAUUAGGUAGUUGGUGAGGUAAAGGCUCACCAAGCCUUCGAUCUGUAGCUGGGCUUAGAGGACGACCAGCCACCCGGAGACUGGGCACCGGCCCAGACUCCUACGGGAGGCAGCAGUGGGGACUCUUGGAAAAUGGGCGCAAGCCUGAUUCAGCCAUGCCGCGUGCAGGAUGAAGGCCUUCGGGUUGUAAACUUCUUUUGUACGGAACGAAACGGCCUUUUCUAAUAAAGAGGGCUAAUGACGGUACCGUAAGACUAAGCACCGGCUAACUACGUGCCAGCCGCCGCAGUAACAC
rnacentral:rRNA from 1 species